GUAGGUGGCAAGCGUUGUCCGGAGUUAUUGGGCGUAAAGCGCGCGCAGGUGGGUUCUUUAAGUCUGAUGUGAAAGCCCCCGGGCUCAACCGGGGAGGGUCAUUGGAAACUGGGGAACUUGAGUGCAGGAGAGGAAAGUGGAAUUCCACGUGUAGCGGUGAAAUGCGUAGAUAUGUGGAGGAACACCAGUGGCGAAGGCGACUUUCUGGCCUGUAACUGACACUGAGGCGCGAAAGCGUGGGGAGCAAACAGGAUUAGAUACCCUGGUAGUCCACGCCGUAAACGAUGAGUGCUAAGUGUUGGGGGGUUUCCGCCCCUCAGUGCUGCAGCUAACGCAUUAAGCACUCCGCCUGGGGAGUACGGUCGCAAGACUG
rnacentral:rRNA from 1 species